AAUAUCUGAGCUUGGGUAUACGGGGAAACCGAACCCUGUGGGAAGAUGGGUGAUAUGGCUAAAUUGAGCGGA
rfam:Anopheles maculatus strain maculatus3 cont1.29129, whole genome shotgun sequence.